UGGGGAAUAUUGGACAAUGGGCGAAAGCCUGAUCCAGCCAUGCCGCGUGUGUGAAGAAGGCCUUAUGGUUGUAAAGCACUUUAAGCGAGGAGGAGGCUCUUUUGGUUAAUACCCAAGAUGAGUGGACGUUACUCGCAGAAUAAGCACCGGCUAACUCUGUGCCAGCAGCCGCGGUAAUACAGAGGGUGCGAGCGUUAAUCGGAUUUACUGGGCGUAAAGCGUGCGUAGGCGGCUUUUUAAGUCGGAUGUGAAAUCCCCGAGCUUAACUUGGGAAUUGCAUUCGAUACUGGGAAGCUAGAGUAUGGGAGAGGAUGGUAGAAUUCCAGGUGUAGCGGAGAAAUGCGUAGAGAUCUGGAGGAAUACCGAUGGCGAAGGCAGCCAUCUGGCCUAAUACUGACGCUGAGGUACGAAAGCAUGGGGAGCAAACAGG
rnacentral:rRNA from 1 species